rnacentral:rRNA from 1 species
GAUGAACGCUGGCGGCGUGCCUAAUACAUGCAAGUCGAGCGAACAGAUAAGGAGCUUGCUCCUUUGACGUUAGCGGCGGACGGGUGAGUAACACGUGGGUAACCUACCUAUAAGACUGGGAUAACUUCGGGAAACCGGAGCUAAUACCGGAUAACAUUUGGAACCGCAUGGUUCUAAAGUGAAAGAUGGUUUUGCUAUCACUUAUAGAUGGACCCGCGCCGUAUUAGCUAGUUGGUAAGGUAACGGCUUACCAAGGCAACGAUACGUAGCCGACCUGAGAGGGUGAUCAGCCACACUGGAACUGAGACACGGUCCAGACUCCUACGGGAGGCAGCAGUAGGGAAUCUUCCGCAAAGGGCGAAAGCCUGACGGAGCAACGCCGCGUGAGUGAUGAAGGGUUUCGGCUCGUAAAACUCUGUUAUUAGGGAAGAACAAAUGUGUAAGUAACUGUGCACGUCUUGACGGUACCUAAUCAGAAAGCCACGGCUAACUACGUG